GAUGAACGCUAGCGGCAGGCUUAAUACAUGCAAGUCGAACGGUAAGUGUUGUAGCAAUAUAACACCAAGAGUGACGUACGGGUGCGUAACACGUAUGCAACCUACCCUUUACAGGAGGAUAGCUCGGGGAAACUCGAAUUAACCCUCCAUAAUAUAAUUGGAUGGCAUCAUUUGAUUAUUAAAACUCAGGUGGUAAAGGAUGGGCAUGCGUCUGAUUAGUUAGUUGGCGGGGUAAUGGCCCACCAAGACGAUGAUCAGUAGGGGACCUGAGAGGGUGAUCCCCCACACUGGCACUGAGAUACGGGCCAGACUCCUACGGGAGGCAGCAGUAGGGAAUAUUGGUCAAUGGAUGCAAGUCUGAACCAGCCAUGCCGCGUGCAGGAAGAAGGCCUUCUGGGUUGUAAACUGCUUUUGCCAGGGGAUAAAAUGUCUGUGCGCAAAUAAUUGAAGGUACCUGGUGAAUAAGCCACGGCUAACUACGUGCCAGCCGCCGCCGUAAAAC
rnacentral:rRNA from 1 species